GACGAACGCUGGCGGCGUGCUUAACACAUGCAAGUCGAACGGAAAGGCCCUGCGUUUGUGGGGUGCUCGAGUGGCGAACGGGUGAGUAACACGUGAGUAACCUGCCCUUGACUUUGGGAUAACUUCAGGAAACUGGGGCUAAUACCGGAUAGGAGCUCCUGCUGCAUGGUGGGGGUUGGAAAGUUUCGGCGGUUGGGGAUGGACUCGCGGCUUAUCAGCUUGUUGGUGGGGUAGUGGCUUACCAAGGCUUUGACGGGUAGCCGGCCUGAGAGGGUGACCGGCCACAUUGGGACUGAGAUACGGACCAGACUCCUACGGGAGGCAGCAGUGGGGAAUAUUGCACAAUGGGCGGAAGCCUGAUGCAGCAACGCCGCGUGCGGGAUGACGGCCUUCGGGUUGUAAACCGCUUUCGCCUGUGACGAAGCGUGAGUGACGGUAAUGGGUAAAGAAGCACCGGCUAACUACGUG
rnacentral:rRNA from 1 species